rnacentral:lncRNA from 1 species
UUGUUCCAUCUACCCUGUUCAAUAGGGAGCUUGUGAUUUGUGGUCCUAAAUCUACACAAAUCAAUAGACAGUUUGUUUCCAAGAAUUUCAAAAUAAUCUUCUUUUCCAAAAAAAUCUUUAAAAAGUUUGUAAUUUAGUGCUUUUGGCGAGUUUUCUAGUAAAGAAUGCCAGACUUGUACAUACUGAUCUUUAAGUCUAAGUUUGAUGAAUGAAACUAGCCACUUGCAAUUUAUAAAAGAUUGCGUUUCCCAUACAUUUGGGAUACCACAUUCGUUCAGAAUAGUCUUUAUUCUGUUUAACCAUGAAAAAUUCACAUUGUCAUUA